AAAACCAAAUUCCUCUAUAUUAAAUCUAGCAUGGAAUAAAGACCCCAUAAAAUUUGCUAUAAGCUGCAACAACCCUCAGAACUCUGAGUCCAAGGGGUUCCAUCACCACUGGAUACACUCAUUUCCAAAGUUCUGAUGAUUUGUUGGGUGACCAAUAGAAAUCCCUGGAGCCAGCCUCUCAGCUGUCAGCCUGUAGCAGCCUAAACACCAACAGUGGCCAAUCUAACAGCAGCAACUUAUGCUGGUAUGGGAGCUGGUCCUCCCAGAGAUUGCACCAGUGUGGUCCACAGUGUGCUUUCUCUGUCUCAGAGCAAACACAAAACAGCACUCAAAACAGUGCUUCUUCUGAAUCAGCCAAUACUUUAAAGACCAGCUCUUGUGGCUAACAGUCUAACCUCUCCAGCUUUGGGUAAAACACCUGGGUGUACCAUGGAAGAUAUUGUCCUAAUCUGGUCAUCAGCUCUGAUGUUGCCAUGACCUGACACUCGCUGGCCUUGAAUCCAACCACACAUGUGUGACAGAGGACAGUUCUGUGAGAGAAAGGAGAAACGACAGACAGGACGCACGACAUCAAAAAUCUCUAGCAGGCAGACAGACAGGAGCACCAGAGAGGCUGCGGAGCUGGCUGAAAUUUGAUGCACCUAUUGGACCUGUCACCUUGGUCAUAAAGACACUGGAGGAACAAGAUCAAAAGAGCUGAGACUACGUGCUUUGGAGAAGCAAUGCCAACAACGCCAACCUAAACUACCCAUCUCUCCUUUAAGUUAAGAAUCAUCUCUAUAAGAACAG